UCUUAGUUGCGGACGGGCGAGUAACGCGUGAGCAACCUGUCCUUCAGAGGGGGACAACGGCUGGAAACGGACAGUAAUACCGUAUAACGUAUUUUUACCGCAUGAUAGAAAUACCAAAACUGAGGUGCCGAAGGAUGGGCUCGCGUCUGAUUAGAUAGUUGGUGGGGUAACGGCCUACCAAGUCGACGAUCAGUAGCCGGACUGAGAGGUUGAACGGCCACAUUGGGACUGAGACACGGCCCAGACUCCUACGGGAGGCAGCAUG
rnacentral:rRNA from 1 species